UACAGGGGGUGCAAACGUUGCUCGGAAUUAUUGGGCGUAAAGCGCGCGUAGGCGGCUACUUAAGUCGGAUGUGAAAGCCCUUGGCUCAACUGAGGAAGUGCACCCGAAACUGAGUGGCUUGAGUACUAAAGAGGGUCGCGGAAUUCCCGGUGUAGAGGUGAAAUUCGUAGAUAUCGGGAGGAACACCGGUGGCGAAGGCGGCGACCUGGGUAGAUACUGACGCUGAGGCGCGAAAGCAUGGGGAGCGAACAGG
rnacentral:rRNA from 1 species